AUACAGAGGGUGCAAGCGUUAAUCGGAUUUACUGGGCGUAAAGCGCGCGUAGGUGGCUAAUUAAGUCAAAUGUGAAAUCCCCGAGCUUAACUUGGGAAUUGCAUUCGAUACUGGUUAGCUAGAGUAUGGGAGAGGAUGGUAGAAUUCCAGGUGUAGCGGUGAAAUGCGUAGAGAUCUGGAGGAAUACCGAUGGCAAAGGCAGCAAUCUGUCCUAAUACUGCAACUGAGGUGAUAAAGCAUGGGGAGCAAACAGGAUUGGUUCCCUGGGUGGUCCAUGCCGUAAACGAUGGCUACUAGCCGUUGGGGCCCUUGAGGCUUUAGUGGCGCAGCUAACGCGAUAAGUAGACCGCCUGGGGAGUACGGUCGCAAGACUAAAACUUAAAUGAAUUGGCGGGG
rnacentral:rRNA from 1 species